rnacentral:misc_RNA from 1 species
AUAGGAGUCUCGUGGCUGAUGGACAAGGUGCCACAGAGCGAUGGACACAAGCUCCAGCGCGAGGUAUGCUGAUCAACUCUCUGUCGUCCACCUGAGCCACAUUCACGAGGGUGUGCUCCAGCUGCGUGAGCACCUGCGGUCCGCUCUCCUCGACGACAGCCCACAGACGGAGAUGAUCGUGUACACCCGGCUCUACCAACUCUACCGAGACUUCUACCUGCCUUUCUUUGUUGCCAAGUUGCAUAUCCCAUCCCAGUUGCCACCGGGCGCCGGCUCAGCGCCUUCGCUGGAUGCGCGUCCAGCUGCUUCGGCUGAGGCGCGGUUUGUCAUGACCACCUAUACACAGGAUGUGCUGGCCGCCUGUGUGUAUCUGCUGGAUCCGGCGUCGCUGCCUGCCACCUACAUUGUAACCUCGACCCCGCCUGCGUGCGAAGAGGCACAAAACGAGGCCAAUGCAUCUAGCGUUUACAUCAGCGCCGAGCAACGCCGAUUUUGCGGACGCGUCUUUCUGUACAUGUGCUGGGCCAGUGCAGCCCUUCCCUUGCACAUUGUGCUGCAGGCGCUCUACCCUCUGCUCGAUCCAGGGGUGUCGGGCGCGCCACGGGCAACGACCACAACUCUGUCAACAACUGCCGACCCUCCCCGGGAGCGACAGGGCCCGAGCCUGACUGAGAACCACAUCGCCGCUGACUUGUUUUCGCAAGAACGUUUCGCCUGUCAAAAGCGGCUCCUCAGGGAUACGUUGAACGGUCUCGUGCUUACGCGGGCUAACGGUGUGCGAGCGCUGCUUCGCGUGCUUCUGCUGAACGACAGGGUGACGACUGAGAUGACCGGUGAGGCAGCGCAGUUGCUGGUGCAGCUGCUGACAUCGCCGGUUUUCACGUUGUGGCAGCAGCAGCAGCCGCAGCAGCUGGGCGAGUCUCUUGGCUACCGCAGCCCCUUUUCGGCAGCGGGCGAGGAAGAAUGCGCUGCGGAAGUUGUCGUGACACAUGUGACGACGGCCUUGUCAGUCGAGGACCAAGUGCGGCUGCUCGCUCCGCAGCUGCUUGCGCUCCUCGAGGAGCACGCAGACGCCACCUUAGCUGUUUCGUCAGCAUCGCGUACUGCGGCUCGGCCUCGUUUCCUGGCUCGCCUCGAUGCAGCGCGUCUGCGACUGCCCGCCGAAACCCUAGAGCAGCGCCUGCAUCUCGCCCUAACAAUGCUACUCAAUGCCCUGGUGCGGCUCCCACCCCGCGACAAACACGACUUUGCGCGCUCCUAUCGGCAGCUCUUCUACACAAACAAGUUUGUGCUCUCGCCUGGCUUUGGGUGCCUAUCCCUGCGCAGCGACACCGAUGUCGUGGAGGACGACGCCAUCGCAGCGCUCCUUCGCCUGGGGUCGCUCAUCAAAGGGGUAUCGUCGGGCGCUGGAAGCGGGGUCAUGGCGCACGUGCUUCCCGCUACUGCUGCCGGGCUUUUGAAUAUCUGUGCUGUGCUCGCUCGCAGCUGUGACGGCGACGGUAAUGCGGCGCAGUUUGUCUCACCUUCCUUGCCCGCGACACUGCGGAGCCUCUUUUCGGAGCUUCUAUCAAGCCCGUCCCUCUACGACCUAUGCGCACGCGCCUUGGUGAACGCGUGCGGCGAGGCACGUGCUCACUGUUACCUGCCAGGAAACGCUGCGCAGCCGCGUCUGCGCUACACAAGGGACGUUUGUGGGCGUGAGCGUCUUGUUACUGGCCUGCAGUGGUUGCUGCUGGAUGUCGCCGCCACCACACCUGACUUCGUGCACACAUGCGUGGAUGUCAUGGUGGAGGCAUGCCACCUGGAGCUCUUUGCUGCCGGUGUGGAGAACCUGACUGUGUCGCCGGCGCCACGGCUGACGGAAACGAAAUUGCUCGUCAGUGCACCAACAACGGAGAACGACACGUCCCCGCUGAUUGCUCUGCUGGAACGCCUUUCAUUGGAGGCAACACCAGAGGCUCUCUUUGGUUCCCGUGGAGCGUCUCUCGCCUCCACGCUGGAGCUGCUGGGCCGCAUGCUCGCGCUCUCGGGCGCUCUGUACCGGUGGGCUCUGGGGCUGGUGGAGCACCUUCUUGCAGCUUCCAGCGUCGAGGUGCACUUCGGCGGCGGCGACACUCGUGCGGAGCGGUGGCAAAAUCUAUCUCGCCUGCAACGGUGCAGCCGCAAAAUCCUCGCGUCUCUCACGCAGUUGAACACGCCCACGCCGCGUGGUGGGGCCUGGCAUUCAGUCGUUUCCACUGAUGGCGCGCAGUUGUCGCUCACCGCCCGCGUUCAGCAAGCGCUGGGCGCCUUUCUCGAGCGCAUCGAGGAGCACCUGGCGUCUUGCGAGGCGGUGGAGCAGCUCUCGUACGACAAGCAGCACAGACAGGGCGAAGCGAUCACUGCAGUUCGCGCGGAGUGGGAGCAGCUGGCGGAGAAACUUCGGGCGGCGCUGGAUAGCCGCGCCGCGAUCGACGUUGCCGUUACUCUCGCGAAGCUUGCCCACGGCGUCGACGAUGUGGUCUUUGAGGUGACCGAUCCGCAGCCCCUGUACGACACCACCCAGCGCCUACUGCAACUCCUCGUGCGCGUGCUCUUCGAGGCAGACGAUGUCGGCGCCGCGGUGCGCGCCGUUCACUGCGUAGCUUGGCUGGGAAUGUACCGCUUCGACUCCAAGGACUCGACCUACAUGGCGGACGUGAUGUGGUCUGUGCUAGCGGAGGAUCACCUGCCGCCAUGGUUGUCGGCUUCAGCAGAGUACACUGUCGCCACGCAGGCGGCUGCCGCGUCGCGAAUAUGCCGCCUUCGCGUGCGUGUGCUCGACGUUCUCCUGUCGUGGACGGACUACGAUGAGGACGACCUCACGCUGCACAACCUCGACGACUCACUGCGGCGCACGCAUCACACAUCCCUGUACGAUGUUCUCGUCGCCCUCUGCCGCAGCACGGAAGACGCAUUCGUACAGGUGGCUGCCCUGCAUUUUAUAGGCACCUACGCGCUGGCUAUGCAGCCCCGCGUUCCCGUUUCCGCAAUCUUCGACCUGUGCCGGGACGUGUUUCGACUAUCACGGCACGAGAUGGCGAAGGCGGCUUGCGCUGCGGCAUUGGGAAAAAUCGUCGCGUCGCUGUGCCACCCCUCCGACGCCACGCUGCUCGUGCUAUCGGAGCUGGACAUCAACAACCUCCAAACGCUAGCGUCGGCCAUGUCUUCAUAUCGCGGGCGGCCUCACGUAGAAGGCAACGCGAGCGUGACGGCGCCCGCGAUGAGCGCCGCGGCGGAGACGGACCUGCAUGAUGAGGUGAUUCGGCUACACGGCCGGGAAAUGCUUGCGAUCUUGCGAAGGACAUCCCUCGGCUUUGGUGGUGCUCGAGCCGGUGCUGCUCCCGCUGCUGCGGAUGACCUCCGUGUCUCGAGCCUGCGUGUGUCCGAGCUGCGACGCGCUUGAGCCAAGUGGCGUAUAAGAAACAGCAGCAACCCAACGAAGUCAUACCCCGCUUACCGUGUUUGCGGGUGAGAGGGGAGGGGGGGGGUGCAGCGAUGGCGGUGGGUGACGUGUGUGAACUAUGCACACCCUCUCCGUGCAUUUGGCCCGCGCACCCCCGUCCCCCCGUCCCCCUGCCUCUGCCCCUUUUCUUCCCAGCUUUCUCUCUCUGUAGGCGCGCCCGCCUCAGCGCACACGCAUGUGUGCGUGUGUCUCUCCGAGUCACUAC